rnacentral:lncRNA from 1 species
AUGCUGGGGCCUGGUGAGGAUCGGGGCUGUGUGCCUGCUGCCAUGCUCUGCCCUCGGUUGUGCUGGGCACUGCACUCUACUUCUGGCCUGGCACUGCGUGAACCUGGGGAGCUUUGGGGGAUGUAUUGUAGUGAGCUGGGAGACACAGACAGGCACUGCCAAAAUGCUGAGCACCCAGAGCCAGACACACAUGGACGUGACCACGCCAUGGGCAGAGCACGGGCAAGGCUCACGCUCGGCAGGAUUUCCUCUCCGUGCUAUCUCCUCACUGUGUCUUGGGUGCCCUUCCCAGUGCCCAGAAAUGGCAAGGCGUGAGCGCAGGGCGGCCGAGAGGGAGCACCCAGCUGCCUGGCACAGAGGGCGAGCCUGGCUAAGGGAGCCCGCAGGAAGAGCCAAGAGACUGUCAUGACACUGAGCUCUCCUCCGUGCUAAUUGUACGCUUGGGACCAAAUUUAGCCUGGUGCAACUCUGCUGAAGUCACCAGGGAUUAAUUUGGCCUCUGGUGGCUCCAUUGUUUUAGCUAAAU